UUCCCAGGUGUAGGAAUAUGAUAGGUC
rnacentral:piRNA from 1 species